GACAGGAAAAAAAGGCUGCAGAGCUUCCUACACUGGGAUGUGAAGAACCUGGAGGCAGAGGUUUAGUCACCAUGAUUUACUGUUUCUUGGAGAGCCUGGGUUUUUUCGUGAUACCAAAACCAGUAUUAAUAGAAGACUGGGCUCCGGAAUUAGGACGGUUUUCUUGGAUUUAAAAUGCUUGAAAAAAAAUAAUAAUAAAAAAAAAGAAGCCCUGAUCCAUCGCUGCUGCUGUGCUGUGCGACAAAACCUCGCCUUCCCUCCACUUGGAACAGGUGAGAGAUGGAACUAGAGCCCGAAGGAUUUUCUGCUCAGUGAGUAUACCUGAGUUUUAUUGGGGACUUUCUGGGAAAUCUGACACGUAGUUCUGGCCAUGAGGGUAGUUGAGCGUGCCAGUGCACAUCUGCAAACACGCAGAGCGAGAACCUUUGAGAUGUAAACCGGGCUUUAUUCAAUGGAAUCCCACUGUGUGCUGCGCCCCGGUCCUUUGUACAAAUAGCGUCCGGGGAGGGAACCAGAACCGCACAUUCCUCGUGGUAUGUAUGGGAUUUUGGGGGGCUUAAAUAAAAAGGAGAUGCAAAUUGAGGGAAUUGUUUUUACAUGGAACUAUUCCUGUCCUAAAGGAGCCAUCAGCUCAGUUCCGAGAGUUGAGUUACAAGUCUGCGUCUUGAAAGGGCCGGAAGCCUUUUAGGGGCUGCAGUUUGUGUCCCGUGGAAUGAGCUGCCCCCGGGAAAUGCGUGAGCCGAACGUAGCCGAGCCCGGGCGAAGGGAGCCGAGCUGCGGGGAGUGGCCGGGUGGGGGCGGUAAUAGGCGAGCUUCGGCGGAAAGAGGCGAAAGUGACCGAGGAGCCGAGCGGAGCCGAGCUGCGCCGAGUUGAGGCGAGGGGAGCCGAGCUCCUCCGAAGAGACGAAUGGAGCCGACUGCAGGCGACAAUAGGCGAGCUUAGGCGGAAAGAGGCGAAAGUGACCGAGGAGCCGAGUCCAGCCGAAGCCAGCCGAGCUCGGCCGAGCGCAGCAUCCCGGGCAGGGCGGGGCGCCGGGGCGGAGCCGGGGCUCUGUGGGGCUCCCCGCCCUUUCCCUGCCUCUUGCCCUCCUUCCUCCUCCCCGCAUUCCCCUCAGUUACCUCUCUUUCCCCCGUUUCCGUCUCCCAACCCAAAGCCGGCUCCUUCCUGUCCUGCCCCUGCCCCGCUACUCCGUUCUAUUCCCCCUCUCGGUGGUGUGAGAUUAGGUGGAUGUGAUAUUCACAGCUCUGGAGCCAAGGCUGAGCACCGUCGAGUCGCGCUGGCUGCUCUGCACAGGCGAGUGUGA
rnacentral:lncRNA from 1 species